rnacentral:rRNA from 1 species
UACGAAGGGUGCAAGCGUUACUCGGAAUUACUGGGCGUAAAGCGCGCGUAGGCGGCCUCAUAAGUCCGUUGUGAAAGUCAAAGGCUCAACCUUUGAAAGCCGAUGGAUACUGUGAGGCUAGAGUCCGGAAGAGGCGAGUGGAAUUCCUGGUGUAGCGGUGGAAUGCGCAGAUAUCAGGAGGAACACCAAUAGCGAAGGCAGCUCGCUGGGACGGUACUGACGCUAAGGCGCGAAAGCGUGGGGAGCGAACAGG